rnacentral:rRNA from 1 species
CCUACGGGGGGCAGCAGUGGGGAAUAUUGCACAAUGGGGGAAACCCUGAUGCAGCGACGCCGCGUGAGUGACGAAGUAUUUCGGUAUGUAAAGCUCUAUCAGCAGGGAAGAAAAUGACGGUACCUGAUUCAGAAGCCCCGGCUAACUACGUGCCAGCAGCCGCGGUAAUACGUAGGGGGCAAGCGUUAUCCGGAUUUACUGGGUGUAAAGGGAGCGUAGACGGCAGCACAAGUCUGGAGUGAAAUGCCGGGGCUUAACCCCGGAACUGCUUUGGAAACUGUGCAGCUGGAGUGGAGGAGAGGUAAGUGGAAUUCCUAGUGUAGCGGUGAAAUGCGUAGAUAUUAGGAGGAACACCAGUGGCGAAGGCGGCUUACUGGACGGUAACUGACGUUGAGGCUCGAAAGCGUGGGGAGCAAACAGGAUUAGAUACCCUGGUAGUC